rfam:Gossypium arboreum cultivar AKA8401 contig_760_7, whole genome shotgun sequence.
AGUUAAAAUUUUCAGCCAUUUUUAAUGUUAAAAACUGGCGUGGUUGAUGGAAUAAUCAGACAGCUCCACAUGGUAUCCAGUUUCUAACAGUAGAAAUAGAUAAAAAUUUUAACA